CCGACUAUGAAUACCGGCCUAUGUCCAUUUCUUGUCCUGAUGUCCAUGGACCUUAUGAGGAUAUCCAUAGGAUAUACAUUUGUGGACAUUGAAGGGAUAUCCUAAAAUGGAUCACUUUGUAUGUCCAUAUGCUAUCCUUAUUUAUAUACUCGCUCCGCCAACACCAUCUGCAUGCACAAGUGAACUAAAAAGCAAUAUGGCCGUUUAAAAUCAAUAUGGUCGUAGUAGGUUAGGUUUUUGUUGGUUAUCAGCAUGUUUUACACAGUCAGUUGACGAGUCACAAUCAUUUGUUGUUUAGACAAGAUCACUCGCAUGCUGCAGUUAUUGUCUGCAAUAUAAACCCAGCAAGCAAAAUGCUAGCAGCUUGCCGGCAAUAUGCCAACAAACUCGAGCAUGAUAUCGCAGCAGAUUUCAAUCUGCUGCUUCCUCAUUAAGCUUAGUUUCUAACAGCAUAGAUUAUCAACAGAAAAUAUUGAUAGAAAUACAGCAAAAAUCGAAUAUCAUCUGCUACCAUAACAUGACAGCAAAUUCAUAGUAAAUAUCGAACACAAUCUGACAAAUUAAACUCUAAACGCAGAAAGACAGCAAAAACGAAGCAUGAAAUGCUAUCACGCUGCGACACCAGAAACGCGGCGAAGAUACAGCACGAUGUGUCACAUGAAGUACUGACAGCAAAAAUGCAACAGAAAUCGAGCAGAGCCUGCCGUCAUGACAUGCCGGCGAAAACGCAGCAGAUAUAGAACGUGAUCUGCUUUAUCGGUUGUGACGGCAAAAACAUAGCAGAAAUCGAGCACCAAGCUGUCGUCACAAGUAAUCGGAAAAAUAUAGCAAAAAUUUAACACGAUAUGACGUAUUAUUAAUAAUUUUUAAUUAGUAAAAUAAAUAAUUAAUGUAUGCAAUGUA